rnacentral:misc_RNA from 1 species
CUUACUAGUUUGUUAAUCCACAUGGGUUGACUAUGAUCAAUAAUAACUUACAACAGCAAAUCAUUAUCAACUAUAAUCUCUGAAAACACAUUCUCUCCAUGUUUUAGUGUCUGGGAGAUUUCCAAUAAGUCCAAAGCUUUACAGUCACACAGUGUAGUUAAUUAGCCGGUUCAGAUCCCAAGAACACACGUAAACACAUUAAACUAUUUCUCAUUAAUCACCAUUAAUUAUUACAAUUAACAACCUUCUUGCCCUUUAACUCCUCUCCUUCUCAUAUAACACCCUCUUGCUACGUUCUUCUUCUUGUGUUCCAGAGAGCUGAAAAUGCUACACAACUAGAGGGAGCACAUUCCAGAGAACAACAAUGCAAGCCCAGUUGCUAUUCUUCUAUUGUUUCAUUGGUCUCUCUCUUGUUUUUGUUGAGGGAGCUCAAAACAUACACUAUGAUGAAUUGUCAACUCUAUUAUCGAUCAAAUCUAGCCUAAUCGAUCCAUCAAAUCAGCUCAAGGAUUGGAAAAUGCCAAGCAAUGGAUCUAAGAAUGAAUCACUUCAUUGUAACUGGACUGGAGUGUGGUGCAACGCCGAAGGCUUUGUAGAGAAACUUGCACUCUCCAACAUGAAUCUCAGUGGCAGUGUAUCACAUCAAAUUCAAGGCCUGCUUAGUCUUUCUUUUCUAGAUAUUUCCCGUAAUGGGUUUGCCUCUUCAUUGCCAAAAUCAUUGGGAAAUCUUACUUCACUGAAGAGCAUUGACGUGAGUCAAAAUAACUUCAUUGGCAGCUUCCCUACUGGCGUAGGAAGAGCCUCAGGGUUGUCUUCAGUCAAUGCAUCAGGCAACAACUUCUCAGGCUUUCUUCCUGAGGAUCUUGGUAAUGCAACAUCACUCGAAAGCCUAGAUUUUCGAGGGAGUUUCUUUGAAGGUUCAAUUCCUACUUCUUUCAAGAAUCUCCAGAAAUUGAAGUUUCUUGGUCUUUCUGGUAAUAAUCUGACUGGAAAGAUACCAAAAGAGAUCGGCCAACUUUCUUCUCUAGAGACUAUAAUUCUUGGAUAUAAUGAGUUUGAAGGUGAAAUCCCAGCAGAGCUUGGCAACCUCACCAAUCUUCAGUAUCUUGACUUGGCAGUUGGCACUCUCAGUGGACAGAUUCCUGCUAAAUUGGGUAUGCUGAAACAACUUACUACGGUUUAUUUGUACAAGAACAAUUUUACAGGAAAGAUUCCACCACAACUUGGCAAUAUUACAUCACUGCAGUUUCUGGAUCUUUCUGAUAAUCAGAUUUCAGGAGAGAUCCCAGUGGAGAUAGCAGAACUGAAGAAUUUGCAGCUCUUGAAUUUGAUGUGCAACCAGCUGAUGGGUCCAAUUCCUAGCAGGCUUGGUGAGGUGACCAAAUUAGAGGUACUUGAGCUAUGGAGGAACUCCUUGAUAGGCACUUUGCCAAUGAAUCUUGGACAGAAUUCACCACUGCGCUGGUUAGAUGUGUCAUCAAAUUCAUUAUCUGGUGACAUUCCACCAGGUUUGUGUGAUUCUGGUAAUCUCACUAAACUCAUCCUCUUCAACAAUUCCUUCUUUGGUCCAAUCCCUGUAGGUCUCUCCACCUGCCAGUCAUUAGUCCGUGUUCGGAUGCAAAAUAAUCUUAUUUCUGGGACAAUUCCAGUUGGAUUUGGAAGUCUCCCAAUACUUCAAAGGCUGGAAUUGGCUCAUAACAAUCUUACUGGUGAAAUACCAGAUGAUAUUGCUCUGUCUGCCUCGCUUUCUUUCAUUGACGUCUCUCAGAACCACCUUGAAUCGUCUCUCCCAUAUAGCAUCCUCUCCAUUCCUAACCUUCAGACCUUCAUGGCCUCCAACAACAAUUUGCAAGGCAAAAUCCCAGACCAAUUUCAAGACUGCCCAUCUCUUUCAGUGCUUGACCUUUCAACCAACCAUUUAUCUGGAACAAUUCCAGGAAGCAUUGCUUCAUGUGAAAAGUUGGUGAAUCUGAACCUCAAAAACAAUCAUCUUGCUGGAGAAAUACCAAAAGAAAUCUCAACAAUGCCCACAUUAGCAAUUCUUGACUUGUCCAACAAUUCUCUGGUUGGUCAGAUCCCAAAGAACUUUGGCAACUCACCGGCCCUGGAAAUGGUCAACUUUUCAUAUAAUAACCUUGAGGGUCCAGUUCCCUCCAAUGGCAUAUUAAUGACCAUAAAUCCAAAUGAUCUCAUUGGCAAUGCUGGUCUUUGUGGUGGUGUCCUUCCACCGUGUUCUCCAAGUUCUCCAAUAUCCAAGCGAAGAGAGAAUUUGCACAUCCAUCACAUAAUUAUUGGAUUCACCAUUGCAUUCUCAGUACUCUUAUCUCUUGCAAUUGCAUUUUUCACUGGGAGAUGGUUGUAUGAAAGAUGGUACUUGUGUAACAGCUUCUUUUAUGAUUGGUUUAAUAAAAGCAGCAAAGAGUGGCCAUGGAUUCUAGUAGCGUUCCAGCGAGUUAGCUUCACUAGCAGCGACAUUCUAGCCUGCAUAAAGGAAUCAAAUAUCAUUGGCAUGGGAGGAACAGGCAUUGUUUAUAAGGCUGAGGUCAAUCGGCCUCAUGUAGCUGUGGCAGUAAAGAAACUAUGGAGGACAAACACAGACAUUGCAAAUGGCGAUGAUCUAUUUGCAGAAGUGAGUCUGUUGGGAAGGCUCCGGCACAGAAACAUUGUGAGGCUGUUAGGGUAUCUCCACAAUGAAACAGAUGUAAUGAUGAUAUAUGAAUACAUGCCUAAUGGAAACCUUUGGUCAGCUUUACACGGUAAGGAAGCUGGAAAGCUGUUGGUCGACUGGGUCUCAAGGUAUAACAUAGCAGUUGGGGUUGCACAGGGGCUGAACUACCUCCACCAUGAUUGUCGCCCACCUGUCAUCCACCGCGAUAUCAAGUCCAACAAUAUACUGCUUGAUGCAAACCUAGAUGCAAGAAUAGCAGAUUUCGGAUUGGCAAGGAUGAUGGUUCACAAGAAUGAGACAGUAUCAAUGGUGGCAGGAUCUUAUGGAUAUAUCGCCCCUGAAUACGGAUACGCUUUGAAGGUUGAUGAGAAGAGUGACAUAUACAGCUUCGGUGUUGUACUUUUGGAGCUUCUAACAGGAAAAAAACCUCUAGAUCCUGAAUUUGGAGAAACUAUUGAUGUGGUGGAAUGGAUUUGGAGAAAGAUUAGAAAUAACAGAGCAUUAGAAGAAGCAUUAGACUCCAACAUUGCAGGACAAUGUAAACAUGUGCAGGAAGAGAUGCUUCUUGUUCUCCGUAUCGCAAUUCUUUGCACUGCAAAGAACCCCAAGGACAGACCAUCUAUGAGGGAUGUCAUAACAAUGCUUGGAGAAGCAAAACCACGAAGGAAAAGCCUUUGUCACAAUGGGGUACACAAUCCUAGUCAAGAGAAGCAAGUCUUUAGCAACUCACCUGUAAUAGGCCUUCUGUAGAACGAGUUCACAAGUUCUUCAGGCUGCUUUUUUUUUUUUUUUUUGUGUAAUUUUUAUAUUUUAUGUAAAUCUUUGUUCUUUCUUUGACUAAACUUGUUCCAUAAGUUCAGUUGGAGGUAUAACGCUGAUGAACUCAAAUAUUACUCUUUUAACUUUAAAAUGAAUAAAGUUGCCACUUGCCA